UACGAAGGGUGCAAGCGUUACUCGGAAUUACUGGGCGUAAAGCGUGCGUAGGUGGUGAGUUAAGUCUGAUGUGAAAUCCCCGGGCUCAACCUGGGAAUGGCAUUGGAUACUGGCUCGCUAGAGUGCGGUAGAGGGUGGUGGAAUUCCCGGUGUAGCAGUGAAAUGCGUAGAGAUCGGGAGGAACAUCUGUGGCGAAGGCGGCCACCUGGUCCAACACUGACACUGAGGCACGAAAGCGUGGGGAGCAAACAGG
rnacentral:rRNA from 1 species